rnacentral:lncRNA from 1 species
CUUUCCCAUUAUAUAUAGUUUAGGUCACAUCAGAAAGUAACAGGAGUUUAUCUUUUGUUGGUCUUGGUUGUUUAGUUCUGUUCUGUUUUGAGACAGGGUCUCACUAUGUAGCCCAGGCUGGCCUGGAACCCACAAUGAUCUCCCUGCCUCAGCCUCCCAGAUUGCUUAGAUUAUCGGCAUGUGCUACCACACCUGGCAGAAAUUUCUUCAAGGUUGGACCUUAAGAAAUGGCUGGAUUUCAUCAGAUGAAAAGAGAAGGAACUUUUCAUGUGGAAGUAAUACCACCUCUAGGCAGAGAGGUUUCUAUGGAGUGAAAACAACACUGAUAAGGCCCUUCUGAGGACUGACUGAGAUGAUGCACUUGGCAGAGACCCUGGCACUCAAUACAUGAGUAAAAAGAGACUACAAAAGUAUCUCAAUCAUGAGAUUAUUGUGAAGAGUAAAUGAAA